rnacentral:rRNA from 1 species
GACGAACGCUGGCGGCGUGCCUAAUACAUGCAAGUUGAGCGCUGAAGGUUGGUACUUGUACCAACUGGAUGAGCAGCGAACGGGUGAGUAACGCGUGGGGAAUCUGCCUUUGAGCGGGGGACAACAUUUGGAAACGAAUGCUAAUACCGCAUAAAAACUUUAAACACAAGUUUUAAGUUUGAAAGAUGCAAUUGCAUCACUCAAAGAUGAUCCCGCGUUGUAUUAGCUAGUUGGUGAGGUAAAGGCUCACCAAGGCGAUGAUACGUAGCCGACCUGAGAGGGUGAUCGGCCACAUUGGGACUGAGACACGGCCCAAACUCCUACGGGAGGCAGCAGUAGGGAAUCUUCGGCAAUGGACGAAAGUCUGACCGAGCAACGCCGCGUGAGUGAAGAAGGUUUUCGGAUCGUAAAACUCUGUUGGUAGAGAAGAACGUUGGUGAGAGUGGAAAGCUCAUCAAGUGACGGUAACUACACAGAAAGGGACGGCUAACUACGUG